UACCAGCCUAGAUCUCCUGGGAGAGCUGCACCAGCAAACCUCUCGGGACCAUGCAGUUUAUAUGGCAAGGGAGUGCUUUUGCCAUUAUCGCGUAAACCAGUUCCCAGAAAGGAAUAAGCUGUUCUGGCAAAAAGGCUUUAUUGCUGUCUAAAUGCUUCUACACUAGGGCUCUUUUGCCAGCAUAGCUAGUCUGUUGACAGUGAUUUUUCCUUCCUUGUCAAUCAGUCAAACUCAAUCUGUUGUUUUCUCUCUUCUGGAUCCUUCCCUUCUGUGCUUAAUUUUGCUGUUUUCCUUUAGCCUAAAAGCAAUCUUCACUCAACCCCAUAUUCUAUCUCCUCCCCUUUGUUGCUAAGCACUUUGUGUAGGCUGUCUCUUCUCAUGGGCUUCUCUUACCCCCUUCUCUGUCUCUUUUCACUUUCUCUGCUCCACUGAAAUGAAUUGCCUCUUUUCCAAGUCAGAGGCCAUGUCUCCCCUACAACCUUUGGUCAGCACAAGUUCUGGUAGGAUACAGUACAGAAGUUUGGAUAUUACUUGGGUGCAUGCAUUCUUGGCUGCUUGCAUUGGUGAUGGACCAUGGACCUUCAUAGGGGAGUGGCUUGAAGUGGCUUCCAUUAUAUACAGGGUUUACAGUUUGGUUCAAUGGCUCUCAGCACCCCCACUAUACAAAUUGUUCCAGACUCCCUACAGACCUUCAGGGAGCACUGCAACAGCUGGGACCACAAUGAGGAAGAUGAGGAUAUCUUUGAGGAGAGAUUGCUGAUGGACAUAGCAAAAAAAUAAAUAAAUCCCAGAUCGCUUGUGACAUGCAUGGAGCAGCUGCAGACUGUGGAGCAUUUCUUCUGGGCCUAAGAAACCAGCACUGACUGGUGCGAUGGCACAUAAUGCAGAUUUGGGACAAUGAGCAGUGGCUGCAGAACUUUUGGAUGCAAAAGGCCACAUUCCUGGAUCCUGUGCCAUGCUCACCCUAGCCCUCCAGUGCAGGGACAGAAUGAGAGCUCAUUGACAGUGGAGAAGUAGUGGUGAUCAUGUUCUGGAAGCUUAAAGCACUGGAUUGCGACUGGUCAGUGGGAAAUCAUUUUGAAGUUAGAAAAUCCACAAUGGGGGCCAUUGUCAUCCAAGUGUGUAAGGCCAUUGAAUGCUGUGCAGGAUUGUGACUCCCAGCAAUAUGCAAGAAAUGGUGGAUGGAUUUGCAAAAAUGGGGUUCCCAGCUGUGGUGGGGGAAUAGACAGAAUACACAUCCCUAUCUUGGUGCCAGCCACCUUGCUACAGAAUACAUUGACAGAAAGGCCUAUUUUUCUAUAGUUCUGCAAGUGCUAUUGGAUCCCUGGAGAUGCUUCACUGAUAUCAAUGAAGGCUCUUGGUCAUAUUGGCCCGCCAAGCCCUUGUUCACAGGCUGCUGCAGCACUCGCCUGUAGGAUCUCGCAGAGCACUAUGGAGGGCAUGUUCUUCCUUCUCCUCCUCCUUGGAGUCAGGCUCCACACUAAAAGCUGCUGAUAAAAACAGACACCUGCUCCAUUAGAUUUACAAGAAAGAUAAGCUUCCAAACUCCCUUCCCUUAAGUCCCAUAAAUACUUCUGAGAAAUGCUUAUUGGCAGUUCAGCUUUGGAGCACCUCAGUACAGCACCACUCUCCAGCUCCAACCAUGAUGAGUAUGGCCUGGCGAGGACUGGCUGAGAGGGAUAUUCUGUUGCAUGAAGUUAUAGAAUUCUGGCCCCUAUUCCAUGAGUAUAGGACAAUGGCACUGAAAAUUGGCACUAUUUUCUACAGGCAGUGGUAAUUUUAGCUGAUUUAUCUCACUUCUGAGGAUCACAAGGCGCAGAGAAUGCAGAUGAUAUUGAUUAUCAGAGGGGUAGCUGUGUUAGUCUGGAUCUGUAAAAAGC